CCUACGGGGGGCAGCAGUGGGGAAUAUUGGACAAUGGGGGCAACCCUGAUCCAGCCAUGCCGCGUAUGUGAAGAAGGCCCUCGGGUUGUAAAGCACUUUCAGUGAGGAAGAACGCCUGGUGGUUAAUACCCAUCAGGAAAGACAUCACUCACAGAAGAAGCACCGGCUAACUCCGUGCCAGCAGCCGCGGUAAUACGGAGGGUGCGAGCGUUAAUCGGAAUUACUGGGCGUAAAGCGCGCGUAGGUGGCUUGAUAAGCCGGUUGUGAAAGCCCCGGGCUCAACCUGGGAACGGCAUCCGGAACUGUCAAGCUAGAGUGCAGGAGAGGAAGGUAGAAUUCCCGGUGUAGCGGUGAAAUGCGUAGAGAUCGGGAGGAAUACCAGUGGCGAAGGCGGCCUUCUGGACUGACACUGACACUGAGGUGCGAAAGCGUGGGUAGCAAACAGGAUUAGAUACCCGAGUAGUC
rnacentral:rRNA from 1 species